AGUGAACGCUGGCGGUAUGCCUAACACAUGCAAGUCGAACGGCAACACAGUAAGAUCUUGCUCUUACGGGUGGCGAGUGGCGGACGGGUGAGGAAUACAUCGGAAUCUACUUUUUCUUGGGGGAUAACGGAGGGAAACUUACACUAAUACCGCAUACGACCUACGGGUGAAAGCAGUGGAUCUUCGGACCUUGCGCGUUUGAAUGAGCCGAUGUCGGAUUAGCUAGUUGGCGGGGUAAAGGCCCACCAAGGCGACGAUCCGUAGCUGGUCUGAGAGGAUGAUCAGCCACACUGGAACUGAGACACGGUCCAGACUCCUACGGGAGGCAGCAGUGGGGAAUAUUGGACAAUGGGCGAAAGCCUGAUGCAGCCAUACCGCGUGGGUGAAGAAGGCCUUCGGGUUGUAAAGCCCUUUUGUUGGGAAAGAAAAGCAGCAGGUUAAUACCUCGCUGUUCUGACGGUACCUAAAGAAUAAGCACCGGCUAACUACGUG
rnacentral:rRNA from 1 species